GACGAACGCUGGCGGCGUGCUUAACACAUGCAAGUCGAACGGAAAGGCCCUGCUUUUGUGGGGUGCUCGAGUGGCGAACGGGUGAGUAACACGUGAGUAACCUGCCCUUGACUUUGGGAUAACUUCAGGAAACUGGGGCUAAUACCGGAUAGGAGCUCCUGCUGCAUGGUGGGGGUUGGAAAGUUUCGGCGGUUGGGGAUGGACUCGCGGCUUAUCAGCUUGUUGGUGGGGUAGUGGCUUACCAAGGCUUUGACGGGUAGCCGGCCUGAGAGGGUGACCGGCCACAUUGGGACUGAGAUACGGCCCAGACUCCUACGGGAGGCAGCAGUGGGGAAUAUUGCACAAUGGGCGGAAGCCUGAUGCAGCAACGCCGCGUGCGGGAUGACGGCCUUCGGGUUGUAAACCGCUUUCGCCUGUGACGAAGCGUGAGUGACGGUAAUGGGUAAAGAAGCACCGGCUAACUACGUGCCAGCAGCCGCGGUGAUACGUAGGGUGCGAGCGUUGUCCGGAUUUAUUGGGCGUAAAGGGCUCGUAGGUGGUUGAUCGCGUCGGAAGUGUAAUCUUGGGGCUUAACCCUGAGCGUGCUUUCGAUACGGGUUGACUUGAGGAAGGUAGGGGAGAAUGGAAUUCCUGGUGGAGCGGUGGAAUGCGCAGAUAUCAGGAGGAACACCAGUGGCGAAGGCGGUUCUCUGGGCCUUUCCUGACGCUGAGGAGCGAAAGCGUGGGGAGCGAACAGGCUUAGAUACCCUGGUAGUCCACGCUGUAAACGGUGGGUACUAGGUGUGGGGUCCAUUCCACGGGUUCCGUGCCGUAGCUAACGCUUUAAGUACCCCGCCUGGGGAGUACGGCCGCAAGGCUAAAACUCAAAGGAAUUGACGGGGCCCCGCACAAGCGGCGGAGCAUGCGGAUUAAUUCGAUGCAACGCGUAGAACCUUACCUGGGUUUGACAUGGAUCGGGAGUGCUCAGAGAUGGGUGUGCCUCUUUUGGGGUCGGUUCACAGGUGGUGCAUGGCUGUCGUCAGCUCGUGUCGUGAGAUGUUGGGUUAAGUCCCGCAACGAGCGCAACCCUUGUUCACUGCUGCCAGCACGUUAUGGUGGGGACUCAGUGGAGACCGCCGGGGUCAACUCGGAGGAAGGUGGGGAUGACGUCAAGUCAUCAUGCCCCUUAUGUCCAGGGCUUCACGCAUGCUACAAUGGCUGGUACAGAGAGUGGCGAGCCUGUGAGGGUGAGCGAAUCCCGGAAAGCCGGUCUCAGUUCGGAUUGGGGUCUGCAACUCGACCUCAUGAAGUCGGAGUCGCUAGUAAUCGCAGAUCAGCAACGCUGCGGUGAAUACGUUCCCGGG
rnacentral:rRNA from 1 species